rnacentral:rRNA from 1 species
GACGAACGCUGGCGGCGUGCUUAACACAUGCAAGUCGAACGGAAAGGCCCUGCUUUUGUGGGGUGCUCGAGUGGCGAACGGGUGAGUAACACGUGAGUAACCUGCCCUUGACUUUGGGAUAACUUCAGGAAACUGGGGCUAAUACCGGAUAGGAGCUCCUGCUGCAUGGUGGGGGUUGGAAAGUUUCGGCGGUGGGGGAUGGACUCGCGGCUUAUCAGCUUGUUGGUGGGGUAGUGGCUUACCAAGGCUUUGACGGGUAGCCGGCCUGAGAGGGUGGACGGCCACCUUGGGACUACGAUACGGCCCAGUCUCGUACGGGAGGCAGCAGUGGGGAAUAUUGCACAAUGGGCGGAAGCCUGAUGCAGCAACCCCGCGUGCGGGAUGACGGCCUUCGGGUUGUAAACCGCUUUCGCCUGAGACGAAGCGUGAGUGACGGUAAUGGGUAAAGAAGCGCCGGCUAACUACGUG